rnacentral:rRNA from 1 species
GAUGAACGCUGGCGGCGUGCCUAACACAUGCAAGUCGAACGAACGGACGAGAAGCUUGCUUUUCUGAUGUUAGCGGCGGUCGGGUGAGUAACACGUGGAUAAACGCCCUAUAAGACUGGGAUAACUUCGGGAAACCGGAGCUAAUACCGGAUAAUAUUUUGAACCACACGGUUGAAAAGUGAAAGACGGUCGUGCAGUCACUUAUAGAUGGAUCCGCGCUGCAUUAGCUAGUUGGUAAGGUAGCGGCCUACCAAGGCAACGAUGCAUAGCCGACAUGAGAGGGUGAUCGGCCACACGGGAAGUGAGGCACGGUCCCGACUCCUGGGGGAAGCCGCAGUACGGAAUCUUCCGCGAUGGGCGAGAGCCGGACAGAGCAACGCCGCGUGAGUGAUGAUGGUGUUCGGAUCGGAAAGCUCAGUAAUUAGGGAAGAACUUAUGUGUAAGUAACUGUGAACAACAUGACGGUACCUGAGCAAAAAGCCACGGCUAACUACGUG